UUAACUAUUUUGGCUUAUAACCCCCGGUGCGCAUAAAGAAUUUCACAGCUGUUAAAAUACCAAAAUAGUUAAGGUACCAACCCCGUUGUCCGGCGAACAAGCAAAUAUUCCAGGCUGGAAUUUAGAAUCUACACCACUAAAGACUUCUUCUCUGUCUUUUAUAUCCUUGGAGAUUCUGAGAUUUAUUUGUUUAAAAAUCGAUUCUUCCUUGUAGUCCUCUCCGGCUCUCCCUGUACUAACUUCGUCGUCUCUACAGGUAAUCUUCCAUAGUUUUCCUUGUUCUCAACUGAAUCACAUCACUCUGAUUUUAGCUUUUGUUUCAACAACUUUUCAAUCUGAUUAUUUAAUUUUAUAUUUUUAUAUGAAUUUUUUGAAAAUUUCUCUUUAUAAUUCUGAAUCUGUAGAAAAGAAAAUUGCCCUUUCACCGCGUAUAUAUAUUUCAUCCUUUAUUCUUUUUUAAUUUAUUGAAGCUUCGAGUGAUGGCUGUUACUGUUCGUCAAAUGUCUCUGAUUGUUGCGACUCUGGGGGCACUAUCCUUCAUUUUUGGGAUAAUCGCUGAAAAUAAGAAGCCUGCAGCUGGA
rnacentral:misc_RNA from 1 species